rnacentral:lncRNA from 1 species
AGGUUUUGGCCAUAAUCAUCACUGGGACACAACCAUGCAUGCUCCUUUUUGUAUCCUCUACUGAUAUUUCCCUUUUGUGAGGUGAGACUGAGGAUUUGUGCUAAAGCUGUUAGUCUGCAAAGGACUAAAGCAUUUACUAUUUGGCUCUACAUAAAAGAAGUUUGCCAACCCCUGCUGCACUCAAUUCACUCUCCUUAAGUUUUUUUUUUUCUUUUAUAAUUUAAACCCUGGCUAUGAGAAUUUGGUUCUGUGCCAGAUGUAUUUACAGCUCACUACUGAAGCUGUCCUCUAUGCCCAGUUUGUACAUAGUAACACUGGCUUACAUGUCUUGACAUGUGAUAAUUUAACAGAGACCUUAUGAUUUCAACUUUGGACUAGAUGUUUUAAACAUAAUUCUCUCCUAGCCAUACCCCAGUCAUUUUCGGUGCAGGAAAAACAAGAAAUUUGUUUUGUCUAAAAUGUAGCUCACCCUGGACUUGUGUUGCUUUUUAACAUAGAUGAGACUAUAGGCUCAGGAGUAUUAGGUCUUUUGCAGACCAAAAUAAGAGUGACUUUGACUAAAUGAGCUUAAUCUUGUUUUUCUCACGUAAUAUAGCCUGAUUAUGAGUUCCCUUCCUUCUGCUCCUCCCAGCUCCUCCCUAUCUUGCCUCCCAUCCGGAUCUACCCCUUUCUGUCUCUCACUGAAAACAAACAAAAAUCCCUUAUUUUUUCUAAGGGAUAAAAAUAAAAUAUAAUAUGAUAAAACCAAACUAACAUAUCAUGAUACCAUAAAACAAACAGACAAACAGAAGGAAAAAGAGCCCAAGAAAAGGCACAAGAAACACAGACACACUGUACACAAACUCAGGAAUCACAUUAAAACACUGAGCUGGAAGCCAUAAUAUAUAUGCAAAGGACCAGCAGGCC